UACGGAGGGGGCUAGCGUUGUUCGGAAUUACUGGGCGUAAAGCGCGCGUAGGCGGAUUUGCAAGUCGGGGGGUGAAAUCCCGAGGCUCAACCUCGGAACUGCCUUCGAUACUGCAAAUCUCGAGUCCGGAAGAGGUGAGUGGAAUUCCUAGUGUAGAGGUGAAAUUCGUAGAUAUUAGGAAGAACACCAGUGGCGAAGGCGGCUCACUGGUCCGGUACUGACGCUGAGGCGCGAAAGCUAGGGGGAGCAAACGGG
rnacentral:rRNA from 1 species